UACGGGGGGGAGCAAGCGUUGUUCGGAUUUACUGGGCGUAAAGGGCGCGUAGGCGGUCGUGACAAGUCACUUGUGAAAUCUCCGGGCUUAACUCGGAACGGUCAAGUGAUACUGUCGGACUAGAGUACAGAAGGGGCAACUGGAAUUCUCGGUGUAGCGGUGAAAUGCGUAGAUAUCGAGAGGAACACCUGCGGCGAAGGCGGGUUGCUGGGACGGUACUGACGCUGAGACGCGAAAGCGUGGGGAGCGAACAGG
rnacentral:rRNA from 1 species